CCUACGGGUAGCAGCAGUGGGGAAUCUUGCGCAAUGGGCGAAAGCCUGACGCAGCGACGCCGCGUGCGGGAGGAAGCUCUUCGGGGUGUAAACCGCUGUCGGGGGGGAAGCGGUACCUCCAAAGGAAGCACCGGCUAACUCUGUGCCAGCAGCCGCGGUAAUACAGAGGGUGCGAGCGUUGUUCGGAAUUACUGGGCGUAAAGCGCGCGCAGGCGGCUUCUUAAGUCCGCGGUGAAAGACCGGGGCUCAACCCCGCGUCAGCCAUGGAUACUGGGGAGCUGGAGACAGGUAGAGGCAAGCGGAAUUCCGGGUGUAGCGGUGGAAUGCGUAGAUAUCCGGAAGAACACCGGAGGCGAAGGCGGCUUGCUGGACCUGUCUGACGCUGAGGCGCGAAAGCGUGGGGAGCGAACAGGAUUAGAUACCCCAGUAGUC
rnacentral:rRNA from 1 species